rnacentral:lncRNA from 1 species
UGUAGACUUCAAAAAUACACUUUUGAUAAUGACAUCAAAUGUGGGAAGCAGUGUUAUAGAGAAGGGAGGUCGGAGAAUGGGGUUCGACCUUGAUUACGACGAGAAGGAUAGUAGUUAUAACCGAAUCAAGAGCUUGGUGACAGAGGAACUGAAACAAUACUUCAGGCCUGAGUUCUUGAAUAGGUUGGAUGAAAUGAUUGUCUUCCGUCAGCUCACAAAACUGGAAGUGAAGGAGAUUGCGGAUAUAAUGCUGAAGGAGGUGUUUGAUAGGUUAAAAGCGAAAGAAAUUGACCUUCAAGUGACAGAGAGAUUUAGAGAUAGGGUAGUGGAGGAAGGAUAUAACCCAAGCUACGGUGCGAGACCUUUGAGAAGGGCAAUAAUGAGACUUUUGGAGGACAGCAUGGCAGAGAAGAUGCUGGCAAGGGAGAUCAAGGAGGGUGACUCGGUAAUCGUGGAUGUUGAUUCGGAUGGAAAUGUUACAGUACUCAACGGCAGCAGUGGUGCUCCUGAAUCCUUGCCGGAUGCCAUCCCUGUGUAAACUACAUUUUAUUACAUAGAGAUAACAUUCUUACUAGCUCAUAAAAUGUAUUUCGAACUUCAUCUUAUUUAAAUUAGUAGGUUGUACACUCGAGACGGAGAAAAAAAGAAAAGAAAUUAAUGUAUCGUAAUUUGCUUCUCAAUGGAUGCUAGCUAAUUGUCGAUUUGGUAGUAUAGCUGAUUUAUGU